rnacentral:rRNA from 1 species
ACGCUCGACACCUACGGGUGGCAGCAGUAGGGAAUCUUCCACAAUGGACGCAAGUCUGAUGGAGCAACGCCGCGUGAGUGAAGAAGGUCUUCGGAUCGUAAAACUCUGUUGUUAGAGAAGAACACGAGUGAGAGUAACUGUUCAUUCGAUGACGGUAUCUAACCAGCAAGUCACGGCUAACUACGUGCCAGUAGCCGCCGGUAAGUACUGAGGCGGGCGUGGCGAAGGACG